GGCAAGGGAGGCCGGAGUUAGUUACAAUUUCCCGUCCCCCCGUUUGCCGCUAGGAAGGAAGCUAAGGGGCGGGAGGGGGAGUUGGCACUUCAUCUUUAAGCAACACAUUGAAAGGCUUGGCUACUCCUAGAAAUCUUCCCUCAAGAUUGCACAGCCCACAACCUUGAUCCAGUCUUCCCAAAGAGCCACUCCCUGCACCUCUCUAUAUCCAGGUUGGAUAACAACUAAGCAGAACCCACUGAACCAUUUCCCAGAAGACUCAACAUCUCCUAAAAGGACUUGCAGAGAAGCAGAUGGACACUGCAAGGGCUGGGCCCGCUCUGCUCUUUGGUGGGCUCGUGGGACAAAAGCACCUAGCAUACAGAUGUGCCCCAGCAGAUCCUGCUGGCCAAAAUAAUCCAAUCUAAGACAUAUGGGAUGAAUAUGCAACAAGAGUGCAAUCCAUGUAGACAAUCACUCGAAGAAGAAAAACAUCAUAUAUUUUUGCAAA